UGCAUACUUGACAUUCAUCUCCGACCUCCAAUUUCGAAAACUAACCGCACGCUGCUUCAUUGUAUAUGCCUUCACUAAAUCUUCUGGCACAUUCCUAGAAAACUGGAACCUUGUCUUAAUUUUAUCCCAAAUUUUGAUCUUGUGAUUAUUCGACACACCGGACCAGUUCUUAACUGUGAUAUCAAGAAAGUCCCUCACACAGAAACCAAUUGUGUUUUUGUAUUUGGGUAGGGCCUCCUCUGGAGCUAGGGGCUGUCUGGUAGGGCUCACAUCUGUGAUGGCAUAUGUGUCAUCUGGAAAUUGGUUCAACCCUCUCUCGCCUUAUUUCAAACCUAGCCGCUUCCUUUUCCUAGACUGACAUGGCCUCUCACGGCUCGUCGUUGCGGUCGUCGGUUCCGGUCCGUCUUCAUGUGCCACUUCCUCCUGAGACAUCAUCUCUCUAAACUGAGACAUUGCCUCCUGAGUAUAGACAUGUGAAUCAUGGGCGUGUUUAUAUGUAGAAACUAUGAAUAGAAAUUAUUUAAUUACAUAAAAUCGUGAAUGUCUCUAAUUUACCUCAUCGACUUCUAGAUUGUAAUCGGGGUCACGUGCCAAUUCACGACGGGUCUUCCUCACUUCUAGAGGCUCUAUGUCGUCGCUAGCUUCUUGUUCGUAGGACGAUUCUAAUGCUUCGCCCGUUUUUACUUGUUUCGUGACCUCACGAUCUUGUUUCAUAGGGUCGGAUGACCCUUCAACUUGUUCCGUGGGUUGGGACUGCAGUGCUUCGUCCUUGUGCAGAGAACUCAUCGCAGAAAUCCAUGUAAUUUAUGCAUAAAAUUAAAUCUAUGUAUCAUGGGGUAUAUACACUAAUAUAUCAUACACUAACAUAUAAACUAAUAUAUAUACUAACAUAUAUUAUAAAGCAUACACUAACAUAUAUUAUAAAGCAUACACUAACAUAUAUAAUAAAGCAUAAAAUUAAAUUUACAUAUUCAAUUUACAUACACUAAUACACUAACAUAUAUUAUAAAGUGUACACUAACAUAAAUAAUAAUAUUUAUUGAUUCCUAUACAUACAAAAUAAUAAUAUUUAUAGAUUCAAUCACAUGCGCAAAGUCGAGGUCUUACAAAAAAGAUAGCCAUAAAUUAAUUAAAUACAUGCAUAUAAUAUUUACAUACAAAGGAUUAAAGACAUAAUAAUUAAUUAAAUUAUGUUAGCAUUAUAUAUAAAGGAUAGGCACAAAUUCUCACUUCUCCCUCACUGAGAAUAUAUAUUAUUAGUAAUAUAAUUAAUAAUAAUAUAAUUAAUUAUGUGAGCAUUAUAUAAUUAAUAAUUAUUAUUAUUUAUAUACAAAGAGAUAAAAAAGACAUAAUAAUUAAUUUAAUAUUAAUAAUAAUAUUUAUUAAUUUCCAUAUAUACAUACAUCAUAUAUAUCUGAAUAAUUGAAGUUAAAAAAAGAAAAAAAACUCAGUUCUCACUUCUCCCUCAGUGGACCGGCUUUGAGCCGGCCCACUAUGUCCCCUCUGACAAGUGGGGCCCCUGUGUCGGGGUUGUCCCCUACCUUGGGCCAGCGCUCUCAGGCUGGCCGCCUCUCUCCUCCACGACCGGCCGCCACCACCGCAAAACCCUAGCCGCUACGCCGCCAUUCGCACCCCCGCAGCAGCGCCCGCCAAACCCUAGCCGCCGCGCCGCACACAAAGCCACCGCCGCCGCACAUAAAACCGCCGCCGCCGAUAGAGGACGUCUUACCACGUGGGGCGUUGAAGGGCUCGGCGUAGACGAAGAAGACGACGCGUCGGACGGCGGCGCCUCUCCGAUGACCUUGGUGCGGCGGAGACAAAGACGAAAUCCGGCAGCCUGACGGCGUGUUUUGAAAAACUGGCCCGCCUUGUGACUUAGA
rnacentral:lncRNA from 1 species